rnacentral:rRNA from 1 species
UGGGGGAUAUUGCACAAUGGGCGAAAGCCUGAUGCAGCGACGCCGCGUGGGGGAUGAAGGCCUUCGGGUUGUAAACUUCUUUUGCUCUGAACAAGUCAUGCUACUGGGUGUGUUGAGUGUAGGGGUUGAUUAGCGCCGGCUAACUACGUGCCAGCAGCCGCGGUAAUACGUAGGGCGGGAGCGUUGUCCGGAAUUAUUGGGCGUAAAGGGCUUGUAGGUGUCUGGUUGCGUCUGUCGUGAAAGCUCAUGGCUUAACUGUGGGUUUGCGGUGGGUACGGGCUGGCUUGAGUGCAGUAGGGGAGGCUGGAAUUCCUGGUGUAGCGGUGGAAUGCGCAGAUAUCAGGAGGAAUACCGGUGGCGAAGGCGGGUCUGUGGGCUGUUACUGUCACUGAGGAGCGAAAGCAUGGGGAGCGAACAGG